GUGAGGAAUUUUCCGCAAUGGGCGAAAGCCUGACGGAGCAAUGCCGCGUGAAGGAUGAAGGCCUAUGGGUUGUAAACUUCUUUUCUCAGAAAAGAAUUAUGACGGUAUCUGAGGAAUAAGCAUCGGCUAACUCUGUGCCAGCAGCCGCGGUAAGACAGAGGAUGCAAGCGUUAUCCGGAAUGAUUGGGCGUAAAGCGUCUGUAGGUUGUUUAAAAAGUAUUCUGUCAAAGAUUAGGGCUUAACCCUAGAUAGGCAGAAUAAACUUUUAAGCUAGAGUAUGGUAGAGGCAGAGGGAAUUCCCGGUGGAGCGGUGAAAUGCGUAGAUAUCGGGAGGAACACCAAAGGCGAAGGCACUCUGCUGGGCCAAUACUAACACUGAGAGACGAAAGCGAGGGGAGCAAAUGGGAUUAGAAACCCUUGUAGUCC
rnacentral:rRNA from 1 species